GAUGAACGCUGGCGGCGUGCCUAAUACAUGCAAGUCGAGCGAACAGACGAGGAGCUUGCUCCUCUGACGUUAGCGGCGGACGGGUGAGUAACACGUGGAUAACCUACCUAUAAGACUGGGAUAACUUCGGGAAACCGGAGCUAAUACCGGAUAAUAUAUUGAACCGCAUGGUUCAAUAGUGAAAGACGGUUUUGCUGUCACUUAUAGAUGGAUCCGCGCCGCAUUAGCUAGUUGGUAAGGUAACGGCUUACCAAGGAAACGAUGCGUAGCCGACCUGAGAGGGUGCUCGGCCACACUGGAACUGAGCCACGGUCCAGACUCCUACGGGAGGCAGCAGUAGGGAAUCUUCCGCAAUGGGCGAAAGCCUGACGGAGCAACGCCGCGUGAGUGAUGAAGGUGUUCGGAUCGUAAAACUCUGUUAUUAGGGAAGAACAAAUGUGUAAGUAACUAUGCACGUCUUGACGGUACCUAAUCAGAAAGCCACGGCUAACUACGUG
rnacentral:rRNA from 1 species